GACUAGGCUACUUGCUGCUGCUCAAAUGCAUGAUGAACAUCAGCCUAUGGUAAAGAAUUCAAAAUGUAUCCUCACUUCACAACAAGGAUGUCAGAGGAAAACAGGAACACACAAACGGGCAAACAGAGCAGGAAUAAAAUGAGAAAGAGCAGACAAAGGUUCUGACCUUGAGAUGAAGACGGUAGAGGGAGGUGGGCAGGUUCCUUGGGACGACCCUCAGGAAGUUGCUGGACAUGGUGAGGAUCUCCAGGCUGUCAGAGGCAUUGAACAUAUGUUCAGGAAGCCCCACGUCUGUCAGCUUGUUGUUGUGCAGAUACACUGACCUAAGACAUGAUCAAGAGACAUUACCAUCUGUAUACGAACACAACUCCAUGAACAAUGAGUACAUUAACACACAUUGGUGUACCUUAGUUUUGGCUUAUGACCAAACGUAUAUGGGUAGAUCUUCGUCAGCUCGUUGGCAGCAAAAUCAGCACUAACCAAAGAGGGGGGCAGAGCUUUUGGUGCUGAGGUGAGCUGCAGACACACAAAAAAAGAAGAAUGAGAAGAUGGAGUUACAACAAAGUCGAUCCCACAGAUGGAACCGGAUUUAACUUUACCAGACUCAAUCAGAAAAACAGCAGUACAAUAAGUGUCAUAUAUUGCCUUUGUAUAGUUUAUAGAUUUACCUUGUUUAUAUUCUGUAUUAGUUGUAAGUCCCUUAAGUCCUCCUUGUGUCUAUUGUGACCUUGUCUUAUGUUGUAUUCCUUGUGUGUGUUUAUAGUAUAUUGUGUUUCCUGAUUUAUUUGGUAGUUCUUGAUCCCUUUGAGUCUGCUUGAGUUUGACUUCCUGCUCUUGUGUGUUCCUCUCCUGCUUGAUUGCACUCAUUAGUUUCACCUGUGUCCACACCUGUUGCUUGUUACACUGUGUAUAUUUAGUUGUUCUGUUUCCCUCUGUGUUUGUUCAUUAUGUGUCAAACCUGUACCUGUGGUGCUCCUUGUGGGUUUCCCUGUGAUUUUUGGAUUUUGUGUUUUUGGACUUUUUGUUAUCAGUAAGUUAAUGUGUAUCUCUUUUUGUGUAUUAAACCCUUUUUGUCUGUA